rnacentral:lncRNA from 1 species
AGAGACGGGUCUUGCUAUGUUGUCUAGGCUGAUCUUGAACUCCUGGGCUUAAGCAAUCCUCCUGCCCUGACCUCCCAAAGUGCUAGGAUUACAGGCGUGAGCCAUGAUACCCGGCUGCAGUGAUAAUUCUUUUACAGUAUGAUAUUUAAAGGCUGUAUAGAAUUCAUCUUUUGGAUAUAAACUAAUUUACUUAACCUCUGAUUUCUGGACAUUUAGAUUAUUUAAGAUAAUGAGCCUUGUCAUAAUGAACAUCUCUGUGUUUAACUCAGACAUUUUCCUUAAGAAAAAAAUCAAGGAAGUGGAAUGAAUGGGUAAAAUUGUACAAAUAUAUUUAAGAUUUUAAAACAUAUGAUCAAAUUACCCCCACUCCACACACACAGACGCAAAGGUAAAUUCUGUUACUAGCAGUAUAGACAGCACAUAUUUCCUUUGCCAAGAGUGAUAUUAUCAUUAAAAUUUUUUCAACAACAAAAAAGUUAUUCUAAUUUGUAAUUAUUUUUUAUUUCCAGGGAGAUGAUGAAUGUUUUCACAUUUAUUAUUCAGAGUGAACACAACAAUGUAACCACCCCAUAUCAAGAAAUAGAGCAUUAUCAGCACCCUAGAAGCCAAAGCCACCUGCCUUUUCCUCUUGCUGCCUAAAGAGCACAAGCAGGAUGAGGAGCUGCAGUUACCCCGGGAUCUGAAAGUUCUAGAGUCGUCACUUGCUCUUCUGGAGUGUGGAGAUGAAUAAGGCCCAGUUCCGACAUCUGGGAUUUUGACUCUCCAGGCAAGAGGACAGGAAAAAGAUGUUUGGCUUCUAUGAACUAAUUCACUGUCCAGAGCAUCUUGGCAUCUGGCUGCUGCUGAGGAAAGAGGAGGAUGUUUGUGUGUGUGUGUGUGCACAUGCGCCCGUGUGUGCGUAUCUGAGGGAAGCUAAAUAUUACAUUUCAGGGCUUAGUCCUUCCAUACUUUGAAUUUAAUAUGUAAUUAUGAAUAAACAUGGAAACGUAAAAACAAAACCACCCAUGCCUCACGAUCCUAUUGACAUUGGGAGAGCACAUUUACUAUGUGUCUUCAUUCUUGUGGUCAGGUACGGAGCAUUACAGCCAUUUUUACAUGUGUGCAUGCUUUCAGUUACAACAGAGGCUGAAAAUGGGCAACCCUAUGAAACUACUGUUUUGUAUAUUUUUUAUUUAAUUUAAUUUUUUUGAGACAGAGUCUCACUCUGUCACCCAGGCUGGAGUGCAGUGGCACGAUGUCAGCAAACUGCAACCUCUGCCUCCCGGGUUCAAGCAAUUCUCCUGUCUCAGCCUCCCGAGUAGCUGGGAUUACAGGCACCUGCCACCACGCCCGGCUAAUUUUUGUAUUUUUAGUAGAGACGGGGUUUCACCUUGUUGGUCAGGCUGGUCACAAACUCCUGACCUCAGGUGAUCCACCUGCCUCAGCCUCCCAAAGUGCUGGGAUUACAGGCGUGAGCCACUGUGCCCGGCCUGCUUCGUUUAUUUUUAAAGAUGGCU